rnacentral:rRNA from 1 species
AGAGUUUGAUCAUGGCUCAGGAUGAACGCUGGCGGCGUGCCUAACACAUGCAAGUCGAGCGAUUCUCUUCGGAGAAGAGCGGCGGACGGGUGAGUAACGCGUGGGUAACCUGCCCUGUACACACGGAUAACAUACCGAAAGGUAUGCUAAUACGAGAUAAUAUACUUUUAUCGCAUGGUAGAAGUAUCAAAGCUUUUGCGGUACAGGAUGGACCCGCGUCUGAUUAGCUAGUUGGUAAGGUAACGGCUUACCAAGGCGACGAUCAGUAGCCGACCUGAGAGGGUGAUCGGCCACAUUGGAACUGAGACACGGUCCAAACUCCUACGGGAGGCAGCAGUGGGGAAUAUUGCACAAUGGGCGAAAGCCUGAUGCAGCAACGCCGCGUGAGCGAUGAAGGCUUCGGGUCGUAAAGCUCUGUCCUCAAGGAAGAUAAUGACGGUACUUGAGGAGGAAGCCCCGGCUAACUACGUGCCAGCAGCCGCGGUAAUACGUAGGGGGCUAGCGUUAUCCGGAAUUACUGGGCGUAAAGGGUGCGUAGGUGGUUUCUUAAGUCAGAGGUGAAAGGCUACGGCUCAACCGUAGUAAGCCUUUGAAACUGGGAAACUUGAGUGCAGGAGAGGAGAGUGGAAUCCCUAGUGUAGCGGUGAAAUGCGUAGAUAUUAGGAGGAACACCAGUUGCGAAGGCGGCUCUCUGGACUGUAACUGACACUGAGGCACGAAAGCGUGGGGAGCAAACAGGAUUAGAUACCCUGGUAGUCCACGCCGUAAACGAUGAGUA